CUUUCAGGCUUCUCAAAUGACAUUGAAUUGUGAAGCAAUCAGAAGUAAAGCCUGGGAGACCUGAAAAACUUCAUAAAUUUUUUGAACAUUUAAGGAGAUUUUUACAGAGAGAGAAGCUUGUGUCUCCAGGCCUGGUGCCCUGCACCACCUUGUUUGACAGCAUCCAUCUACCAUGGGCACAGCUUGAGGGGCAAACAGUGCUGGAAGGUGCCAAAGAGGGAUCUGGCCUGGGCUUGUACCACCUUCCUCUUGGGCUGAAAGAAGGAAAGGAAGGAAGGAAAAAAGAAAAAGAAGAAAGAAAGAAAGAAAGAAAGAAGAUCCUCCAGAAACUUUUUUGUAAAAAGAGGAAGAGCAGCAGAAGGUCAUCGAAGAUUAUAACAUAUCUGUGGUUGCAGAGACUGCCCUUUGAGAAAAAUUCCUGUAGGGCAUUUCCAUGUCAGCUCAUUCCUUGUGUGUAUACUUGUUAUGAAAAUUAUCCUUGUUUUUCCCAGCA